CUCUCGGUUGAUCCUGCGGGACCUGACUGCUAUCGGAUUGGUACUAAGCCAUGCGAGUCGUUGUAGCAAUACAAGGCGGACGGCUCAGUAACACGUAGUCAACCUAACCUAUGGACGUGGAUAACCUCGGGAAACUGAGAAUAAACCGCGAUAGAUCAUUAUGCCUGGAAUGGCUUAUGGUUCAAACAAUUUAUUGCCGUAGGAUGGGACUGCGGCCUAUCAGCUUGUUGGUGAGGUAAUGGCCCACCAAGGCUAUAACAGGUACGGGCUCUGAGAGGAGGAGCCCGGAGAUGGGCACUGAGACAAGGGCCCAGGCCCUAUGGGGCGCAGCAGGCGCGAAACCUCUGCAAUAGGCGAAAGCUUGACAGGGUUACUCUGAGUGAUUUCCGUUAAGGAGAUCUUUUGGCACCUCUAAAAAUGGUGCAGAAUAAGGGGUGGGCAAGUCUGGUGUCAGCCGCCGCGGUAAUACCAGCACCCCGAGUGGUCGGGACGUUUAUUGGGCCUAAAGCAUCCGUAGCCGGUUCUACAAGUCUUCCGUUAAAUCCACCUGCUUAACAGAUGGGCUGCGGAAGAUACUAUAGAGCUAGGAGGCGGGAGAGGCAAGCGGUACUCGAUGGGUAGGGGUAAAAUCCGUUGAUCCAUUGAAGACCACCAGUGGCGAAGGCGGCUUGCCAGAACGCGCUCGACGGUGAGGGAUGAAAGCUGGGGGAGCAAACCGGAUUAGAUACCCGGGUAGUCCCAGCUGUAAACGAUGCAGACUCGGUGAUGAGUUGGCUUAUUGCUAACUCAGUGCCGCAGGGAAGCCGUUAAGUUUGCCGCCUGGGGAGUACGGUCGCAAGACUGAAACUAAAGCAAUUGGCGGGGGAGCA
rnacentral:rRNA from 1 species